rnacentral:rRNA from 1 species
AACCUCCGCAAUGUACGAAAGUGCGACGGGGGGAUCCCAAGUGUUAUGCUUUUUUGUAUAACUUUUCAUUAGUGUAAAAAGCUUUUAGAAUAAGAGCUGGGCAAGACCGGUGCCAGCCGCCGCGGUAACACCGGCAGCUCGAGUGGUAGCUGUUUUUAUUGGGCCUAAAGCGUUCGUAGCCGGUUUGAUAAGUCUUUGGUGAAAGCUUGUAGCUUAACUAUAAGAAUUGCUGGAGAUACUAUCAGACUUGAAGUCGGGAGAGGUUAGAGGUACUACCGGGGUAGGGGUGAAAUCCUAUAAUCCUGGGAGGACCACCUGUGGCGAAGGCGUCUAACUGGAACGAUCUUGACGGUGAGUAACGAAAGCCAGGGGCGCGAACCGGAUUAGAUACCCGGGUAGUCCUGGCCGUAAACGAUGUGGACUUGGUGUUGGAAUGGCUUUGAGUUGUUCCGGUGCCGAAGGGAAGCUGUUAAGUCACCGCCUGGGAAGUACGGUCGCAAGACUGAAACUUAAAGGAAAU